GGCCAGGGCGAAGUUCGAUUAAAAUCGGAUGGAGGCCCGCACCCACUACUGUUGCAAUAGUAGGGGAUGAGUUGUGGGUCGCAGUAAAAAGCUAAACGAGCCUGGUAAUAGCUGGUUCUCUCCGAAAUAGCUUUAGGGCUAGCUCUUGUUUAGUUUUACAAAGGUAGAGCACUAGUUGGUCUGUCAAGGCUUAUGCUGAGAUAGAUCAGAUAAACUCCGAAUUUUGUAAAAUGUUUUCAAGAAGUUAGAACAUGGGGGCUAAGCUUCAUGUUCAAAAGGGAAACAGCCCAGACCACAGUUUAAGGUCCCUAAAUAUAAACUAAGUGGGAAAGGAUGUGAAAUUUCUCUGACAGCUAGGAGGUUGGCUUAGAAGCAGCCACCCUUUAAAAAGUGCGUAACAGCUUACUAGUUAAGAGAUUUUGCGCCUAAAAUUCAAUGGGACUCAAGUUUAUUACCGAAGACGUGGACAUCACCGCAUCUCAUUGCAUUCGAUGCAACGUAAAUGAAAAACUAAAAAUGAAAAAUGUAAAACUACAAUUAAAAAUUAAAAAAUAAAAUUGCCGCUUUGUGGCAAUUACCAAAAUUUUUCACUUUUCAUUUUAAAUUUUCAAUUUUAAACAUCGAGCGUAGCGAGAUGUGGUGAUGUGGUAGGAGAGCAUUUCUAUUGCGCUGAAGCCGUAUUGUGAAGUACGGUGGAGCGAUAGGAAGAGAGAAUGUUGGCAUGAGUAACCGCAAGUAGGAUGAGAGAUCCUACCGCCGAAAGCCCAAGGUUUCCUUGGCAAUGACAAUCAGCUAAGGGUUAGGCGGGCCUAACAUGGGGUCCUAACGGAUCACAUGGAUGGACAGCUGGUUAAUAUUCCAGCCCUUCUUUUGUGUAUGCGAUGUAGUGACGGAGGUUAAUAAGGAAAGCGUAUUAUUGGAUUUACGUUCCUGCUUUGAAGGGGUUCUUGGGAGAAAUGCCCAAGAGGCGUAAUGCAGCCCUAAAAAAGCGGGAAGAUCUUUGCUUCGGCAAAGUUAUUUUCCCCAGCAGCCUUCCGAGAAAAGCUUCUAAGCGCGCAAAAGAAUCCGUACCGCAAACCAACACAGGUGGGCAAGUAGAGUAUACUAAGGCGAACGAGUGAAACCUCGUCAAGGAACUCGGCAAACUAGCUAGGCGUAAGUUCGCAAUAUGCCUUCCCCGGUGAAAAUCGGGGCGCAGCUAACGUUUUCCUGGCGACUGUUUAUCAAAAACACAGGUCCCUGCAAACUGGUAACAGGAUGUAUAGGGGCUGACGCCUGACCAAUGCCGGAAGGUCAAGGGUUGUUUGUCGUGCGAUUUAUCGUACGGCUUGUGGCCCAAGCCCCGGUGAAUGUCGGCCGUAACUAUAACGGUCCUAAGGUAGCGAAAUUCCUUGUCUGGUAACUUCAGACCCGCACGAAAGGCGUAACGACUGGGAAACUGUCUCGACGAGGCGCUCGGUGAAAAUGCAAUGAGGGUGAAGAUGCCCUCUACCCGCGGAAAGACGGAAAGACCCCGGGAGCUUUACUAUAGCUUUCCAUUGUUAUAGUGUUUUGAAUACGUAGUGUAGUGGGGAGACUUUGAAGGUUCGAUCUCGGUCGAGCUGGAGUCGCCAAUGAAACACCCAUUUUUCACGAUGCUGUAACUAACUGGAUAUUAAACAUAUUCAGAACAGUGGAUGGUAGGUAGUUUAAGUGGGGCGCUUGCCUCCUAAAAAGUAACGGAGGCGUUUAUCAAGGUCAGCUAGCUCCGGAUGGAAAUCGGAGCGGUCGUGCAAAGGCAAAAGCUGGCUUAACUGCAAGGCAUAUUUGCCGCGCAGAUGCGAAAGCAGAACUUAGUGAACCGACCUUCUCAUAUAGAAGAGCGGAAGAUCACCAGAUAAAAGUUACCCCGGGGAUAACAGGCUGGUCGCCUCCGAGAGUCCACAUCGACGAGGCGGUUCGGCACCUCGAUGUCGGCUCGUCGUAUCCUGGAGGGGGAGCACCUUCCAAGGGUUUGGCUGUUCGCCAAUUAAAACGGCACGCGAGCUGGGUUCAGACCGUCAACUUAAAACUGAACCAUUAAAAACAUCAAUAGCGGCGGCGCAGAGGAGUAAUUCUCUGUGGAAAAAUCGACUCAUAUCGGUGAAACCCAAUAUUGCUUUUACCUGGGUUAUAUUUGGGCAAUUCCGAGGGAAGUCCGAUUCUAUCGGACCCCGUAGAGACUUAUUCUUUUAAAGAAUAGAUGAGAACCAAUGUUUUCAUAAUACGUCGACUCCCCGAUGAUUAUCGGGGUGAUGGUAUAGUCCAUACCAUUGGUAACAAUGGAUUAAAUUGCGUAAGACAGGUUGGUCCCUAUCUUCCGUGGGCGCUUGAACUUUGAAGUGACUCAUUCGUAGUACGAGAGGACCCGAGUGAACGAACCUCUGGUGUACCAGUUGUCGCGCCAGCGGCAUAGCUGGGUAGCUAUGUUCGGAAGGGAUAAGCGCUGAAAGCAUAUAAGCGCGAAGCCCGCACUAAGAUUAGAGUUCUUAAAUUCCCGCUAGACUAGCGGGUUGAUAGGCUACAGGUGUAAGUGUGGUAACGCAUUAAGCCAAGUAGUACUAAUAAAUUAUUUUUUUGAAUAA
rfam:Candidatus Spechtbacteria bacterium RIFCSPLOWO2_02_FTLL_38_8 rifcsplowo2_02_scaffold_6774, whole genome shotgun sequence.